CAGACUACAUGAAGAAGAAGGUUCUAUACCUCAAUGCAAGUUGCUUAUUUAAGCAAAGCAAAGCAAGUUCUUAAGAGAACUGAGCGACUAAAGGGUACCUGGAAACAAUCCAAUAAAAUCAGCAUCCCAUUCAUAAGCAGAUAACAACAUAAGAAUCAAUUAACAAUGUUCAAUCAUAAUCAAACAAUAGUGUGCAUAGCACAAGGCUCACAUGAACCAAGUUCAAACAUCCUACAAAACACAUAGGUUAGUCCACAAAUGUCAAGUAACACAAUCCAUAAUGUGGAGCAAAUUCCUUAAUCAUUAACUCCUUAACCUGAAAAGGCACAAUUCACUUCAAAUGUAAGUAACAUGACCACUAGGACUAGCCUAGGGUCAAAAAGAUGGAAAAAUCUUAAAACAGC
rnacentral:lncRNA from 1 species